GUAUUUCCUUUAGUACGAGAGGACCAAGGAGAUUAAACCUAUGGUAUGUCAGUUAUUUUAUCAAAAGUAUUUUGCUGAGUAGCUAAGUUUAAGAAUAAUAACUACUGAAAGCACCUACAGUGCGCGACUGCGC
rnacentral:ncRNA from 1 species